rnacentral:rRNA from 1 species
AAUCAACGCUGGCGGCGUGCCUCAGACAUGCAAGUCGAACGAUUAAGACUUCCUUCGGGAAGUGUAUAAAGUGGCGCACGGGUGAGUAACACGUAGGUAAUGUGCCUUUGGGUGGGGAAUAACUUAGGGAAACUUAAGCUAAUACCGCAUAAUGCAGCGGCUCGACAUCGAGACAGUUGUUAAAGGAGUAAUCCGCCUAAAGAGCAGGCUGCGGCAGAUUAGCUAGUUGGUAAGGUAAUGGCUUACCAAGGCUACGAUCUGUAACCGACCUGAGAGGGUGGUCGGUCACACUGACACUGAAUAACGGGUCAGACUCCUACGGGAGGCAGCAGUCGGGAAUUUUGGGCAAUGGGCGAAAGCCUGACCCAGCAACGCCGCGUGAAGGAUGAAGUAUUUCGGUAUGUAAACUUCGUAAGAAUAGGAAGAAUAAAUGACGGUACUAUUUGUAAGGUCCGGCUAACUACGUGCCAGCCGCCGCAGUAAGAC